ACUGUAAAUGGAAGUGGAUAGUAUUGGCUAAUUCAGAAUUUCAACGAAUGAGAUUGUUGUUAAAGUAUGACAAUCAAAAACUCACUCAACGUUUGAAGUUGUCUAUCAAGUGUAACUUCCACCAAUCUUUUCACAGAUAGUGAUCCCUACCGCUUUGAGGUUCCGCCUCAUAGAGUUUCUUUUGAAAUAGCAGCAGCGAAGAAACUCUAUUAGACCAAAGAAGAAACGACGAAACGAAUUGUUUGUUAUUUCUGACAAUGGAAGAUCAUAUCACGAACAAAAAUACCGCAGACAUUCCGUCCAUACUUCAAUCUUCAGAUGGGUUUUUGUGCCCUGUCAUCCGCGACUGUAUUCUUCACGCUCGUAUAUAUGAGCAAAUGAACACUUGCGAGAUCACCGCAGAACUGUUUCCUACGGAGUGAGAGGGAAGAGUUUGACAAACUGUACUUGUUUUACAACAGUUGGAAGUAAAAGGAAAGCACCACUGAGGCAUUUAAACUCAGGAUUACAUCUCAACCCUACUCAAAUAAAUGUGUCUCUUUCUUUACUUCUCUUUUGCCUUUUUUAUUUCUGUGUGUUAAAAUGACUGUGCAUAAUAGAGUUGUAUAUAUUUAAUGUAACUAUUGAUGUAAACAAUAAAGGACACUUUCUGUUAUUGUUAAAGAUUGUUGAUUAAGUUCUGUAUAUUUGAAAUUGCUUGUCUGUUUUUAGACAAUUGAAGUCAUCUGGAUUUUUACUUUAAUAGUUAUAACUGCUUUGUACAGUUGUUAUGCAUUUUACAUUGUUGUUUUAUUUAUAUAUAAUAUAUAGAAGCGGGCAUGCUGUUGUUUUAAUACUUCAGUAUAUUCCUUGAUCAGUCUGUUUGUUAAAUUUAAUCUUUGUGAAUUCUUUCUUUCAAUUCAACUGACCAAUCAUUAUUGAUAAUUGUAAAUAUUUCUUGAAAUUGUUGCACAAUUUAUAUUGAAUAAUUAUUAAUAAAAUCUUGUUUUUGGUAGUGAUAA